AUACGGGAGGCAGCAGCUAAGAAUCUUCCGCAAUGGGGGAAACCCUGACGGAGCGACGCCGCGUGGGUGAUGAAGGCCGAGAGGUUGUAAAACCCUUUUCUUGACGAAGAAUAAGGGGGGGAGUGGAAAGCCCCCUCGAUGACGUUAGUCAAGGAAUAAGCCCCGGCUAAUUACGUGCCAGCAGCCGCGGUAAUACGUAUGGGGCGAGCGUUGUUCGGAAUCAUUGGGCGUAAAGGGCGCGUAGGCGGUUCGGGAAGCCCGGUGUGAAAGGCUAUGGCUUAACCAUAGUUUUGCGCUGGGAACUGCCGGACUGGAGUUUAGGAGGGGAAGCUGGAAUUCCUGGUGUAGGGGUGAAAUCUGUAGAUAUCAGGAAGAACACCGGAGGCGAAGGCGAGCUUCUAUCCAUAGACUGACGCUGAGGCGCGAAAGCGUGGGGAGCAAACAGGAUUAGAUACCCCAGUAGUCC
rnacentral:rRNA from 1 species